GACGAACGCUGGCGGCGUGCUUAACACAUGCAAGUCGAACGGAAAGGCCCUGCUUUUGUGGGGUGCUCGAGUGGCGAACGGGUGAGUAACACGUGAGUAACCUGCCCUUGACUUUGGGAUAACAUCAGGGAACUGGGGCUAAUACCGGAUAGGAGCUCCUGCUGCAUGGUGGGGGUUGGAAAGUUUCGGCGGUUGGGGAUGGACUCGCGGCUUAUCAGCUUGUUGGGGGGGUAGGGGCUUACAAAGGCUUUGACGGGUAGCCGGCCUGGGAGCGUGGCCGGCGACAAGGGGACUGCGAUACGGCCCAGACGCCUACGGGAGGCAGCAGGGGGGAAUUUUGCACAGUGGGCGGAAGCCUGAUGCAGCAACGCCGCGUUCGGGAUGACGUCUUUCGGGUUGUAAACCGCUUUCGCCUGUGACGAAGCGUGAGUGACGGUAAUGGGUAAAGAAGCACCGGCUAACUACGUG
rnacentral:rRNA from 1 species